AGUCGAGCGGUAACGACCUUCGGGUGCUGACGAGCGGCGGACGGGCCCCCUUUGCUUGGGAACUUGCCUUUAGGAGGGGGAUAACCAUUGGAAACGAUGGCUAAUACCGCAUAACGUCUACGGACCAAAGCAGGGGAUCUUCGGACCUUGCACCUAGAGAUAGGCCCAAGUGAGAUUAGCUAGUUGGUGGGGUAAAGGCCCACCAAGGCGACGAUCUCUAGCUGUUCUGAGAGGAUGAUCAGCCACACUGGGACUGAGACACGGCCCACACUCCUACGGGAGGCAGCAGUGGGGAAUAUUGCACAAUGGGGGAAACCCUGAUGCAGCCAUGCCGCGUGUGUGAAGAAGGCCUUCGGGUUGUAAAGCACUUUCAGUGGUGAGGAAGGCUUGUAGCUUAAUACGCUACAAGAUUGACGUUAGCCACAGAAGAAGCACCGGCUAACUCCGUGCCAGCAGCCGCGGUAAUACGGAGGGUGCAAGCGUUAAUCGGAAUUACUGGGCGUAAAGCGCACGUAGGCGGCUCAUUAAGCAAGAUGUGAAAGCCCCGGGCUCAACCUGGGAAUGGCAUUUUGAACUGGUGAGCUACAGUUUUGAAAAGGGUGGUCAAAUUUCCAGUGUACCCGGGAAAUGCGUACACAUUGGAAGGAAUACCAGUGGGCGAAAGCGGCCCCCCUGGUCUAAAACUGAACCUUGAGGAACCAAAAGUGUGGGGAGCACACACCGAUUAGAAACCCCGGGUAAUCCCACGCCCGAAAACAAUGUCAACUAGC
rnacentral:rRNA from 1 species